rnacentral:rRNA from 1 species
GUGGGGAAUAUUGGACAAUGGGGGAAACCCUGAUCCAGCGACGCCGCGUGAGUGAAGAAGUAUUUCGGUAUGUAAAGCUCUAUCAGCAGGGAAGAAAAUGACGGUACCUGACUAAGAAGCCCCGGCUAACUACGUGCCAGCAGCCGCGGUAAUACGUAGGGGGCAAGCGUUAUCCGGAUUUACUGGGUGUAAAGGGAGCGCAGACGGCCAAGCAAGUCUGAAGUGAAAUGCAUGGGCUCAACCCAUGAAUUGCUUUGGAAACUGUUUGGCUUGAGUGUCGGAGGGGUAAGCGGAAUUCCUAGUGUAGCGGUGAAAUGCGUAGAUAUUAGGAGGAACACCGGAGGCGAAGGCGGCUUACUGGACGACAACUGACGUUGAGGCUCGAAGGCGUGGGGAGCAAACAGG